AGGAUUAUAGUUUAAUAAAAAAAACUUUUAAAUUGCAAUUAAAAAUUAUUGAAAAAUCAAUUUAUCUUA
rnacentral:tRNA from 1 species